CCCUCUUUUUAUUAUUCAUUCAUUCAUUCAUUCAUUCAUUCAUUCAUUCAUGUACAGGGAUGUCUCCAAAGAGUCCUCUCGUUGGAAUGAGGGCAAAGCGGCUCCCCGAGCGGGGCGAACCGGGUUGGAUUCUGGCUGGAGCGCGGAGGAUUCGGGGCGCCCGAGCUCGUGGGGUAACACCAUCCACAAACAGGAAAUCUCUUUCCUCUCUUCAUAACAUUCAACCUCUAAACUAGGUGAGUCAGUUACACUUUUUAACCUGUGCUGGGUCAAACCCUCCUGCUAGUUUGCCCCAUUCCUGCCUAUAGGAUGCCCUGAUUUCUCCCACCUGUAGUUCAAUAAUUGUAAAACUAGUCUCUCUUCGGAACAUUUCCCUUCCCAUACAGACUUCAUAUUCCUUUUCCAUAAUCAAAUACAUAUGGAAUUCCUGGCAGUGCCAGACAUGGUGCUAGGAUCUCUCUUCAGCAAACCUAUCUGGUAAUGUCUCCACUUUUCCCAAGUGAUAAACUUCCGCUGCAUUCUCAGAGGCCUUGGGAUGAAUGUCUGACUCGAGUUCUCAGUGUGGUAUAUAUAGUCUUUCAGACUAAGCUUCGACUUUUUCUUUUCUUCAUUCUCUCUCUCUUUUUUUUGAAGGUAUUUUAUUUAUUUAUUUGAGAGAGAGAGAGAGAGAGAGAGAUCACAAGCAAGGAGGAAGGGCAGAGGGAGGAGCAGACUC
rnacentral:lncRNA from 1 species